UACGGGGGGGGCAAGCGUUGUUCGGAAUUACUGGGCGUAAAGGGCUCGUAGGUGGCCAACUAAGUCAGACGUGAAAUCCCUCGGCUUGACCGAGGAACUGCGUCUGAUACUGGAUGGCUUGAGUUUGGGAGAGGAAUGCGGAAUUCCAGGUGUAGCGGUGAAAUGCGUAGAUAUCUGGAGGAACACCGGUGGCGAAGGCGGCAUUCUGGACCAAUACUGACGCUGAGGAGCGAAAGCCAGGGGAGCAAAGCGGG
rnacentral:rRNA from 1 species